UGCUCUCCACCAGCUCCUUCGUCGGACUCAGUCUGGAUCUUCUCAACGCCCAGCUCCUGGCUCCGAGUCAGGGCUCUCUGGAUGCACGGUGUGGUGGUGUGCCGCUGUAUUCCCAGCUACUUGGGAGGCUGAGGAGGGAGAAUCACUUGAACCUGGGAGGCGAAGGCUGCAAAUGAGCUGAGAUGACGCCACUGCACUCCAGCCUGGGCAGCAGAGUGAAACCCUGUUUCAAAAAAGAAGGUCCCACCUUGGAGACUGUGAUCUAACUGGUAAAGAAAGCAGGAAACUGUGACUAAAUGAAGAUCACAGAGCCAGUUGAUCAGUGGGGAAGCUGCAUCUGAAAUCCAGGACUUCUAGAUCCUGGGUCAACUGGAGGGGUCAUGCAUUCUGGAAAAUAAUGCAGAGUGGUACAGGCUGAAGCGGAGCGGAGAGGACACUGUUUCAAGAUUCCUGCGCCAGCUCCUUCGUUGUUAUAGAAGUUGGACUAAAUAAAAGGGUAAUCACAAGCGUACAGAUAACAGGCAGGCAGGAAUGUGAAAAUCAGAGAGAAGAGAGAUGUGCACCAGAAGCUGGAGUAAUGUGCUUUGAAGAUGGAGGAAGGGACCAUAAAUCAAGGAAUGCAGACAGCCUGUAGAAGCUGGGAAAGGCAAGGAUGUGGAUUCACUCGAGUCUCUAGAAGAAACGCAACCCCGCCAACACCUUGAUUUGAGGACGUCUGACCUUCAGAAUGAGAAAAUGAUACAUUUGUGUUGUAAGCCACCCAGUUUGUGAAAUAUGUAUCAACAAUUGAAAACUAGUACAUAGUCAAAUACUCAAUCUCUGUUUUUUUUAGCUUAUCAUUUUCAAUCUCUGUCUCCAACCCACAAACCACAUGCAUCAUAAAUAAAUUAAAAUACCAAAA
rnacentral:lncRNA from 10 species